rnacentral:tRNA from 1 species
CGGGGCGUGGCUCAGUUGGCUAGAGCACACGGUUCGGGACCGUGAGGUCGCUGGUUCAAGUCCAGUCGCCCCGA